CUCCCUCGCGUAGUCUGACACCGCCGGUCACGACGGACGCACGCGUGUGUGUCGCAUCGUCGGUCCGGAUCGAGCGAGCGCAGCCGCGAGAACGUAGAGGCUCGCGAGAGGUCGCGAGGAGUUGCGCGUGAUCGGGCCGAGUUAGCGCGAAUCCGCGACGAAGUCGCCGAUAGUGCGGGGACCGCGACAGCGUGAGACGAGUGUGCAGAUUCACCGGGUUUUUUUUUCGCGAGAACACGCAUCGAGCGAAUUGUCGGACCGUGGCCGUGCAGGAGAGUCGCGCAGACUCGCGGGAACACCUGUCCGUCGCGCUCGACGAGUGACAACCUCGGAGAAACCCAGCGGUGCCCGCCCGGAAGGGUGAUCGUCACUCAAUGCCGCCCUGGCAGCGCGCAUGGUGGUGGUGAACCGCGCUAGUGCGAUCGCGAGGAUGAGCGACGUCGGUCGGUUGUCGCGCAGAGUGAGCAGGUGAAACGGCGUCUUGCAUCUAAAUGAUGAUUUUUCUGCGGACGUGAUCGAAUGGGACAGCGUAAGAAAUUCGAGAGGGAAAAUCAGACUGCGAAAGGCUUAUUCCCUUGGUCCUCGUCUAGGCACGUUCCUAAAUCACGUUCAUCGACCGGAGGGAAGUUUGACCUGGUUAUAGUUGGAGCCGUCAACGGCGCGAAGCAUGGCAAGGAGCAACAACGGUGUCUGCGGACGUGGUUCCGAACGCACCGUCGUCGUCAUCCGCCGCUGCGAUGCUGCCGUUGCAUCACGUGGUAAGGCAACGUCCCAGCAAAGUGAAUCGAUCGGCGCCGGUAACGACGACAGCGUCCAGCAACGUAGCAACGACGACAGCACCGGUAACAGCAACGGUACCGCCACUGGGGCCGCCGCCAGCAGCAACGCUAGGAAUCAAGCAGAGGGUACGGCCGACUAGAGUCAUCCCCUUGAACGCAGACGCGGCACAUUUCAGGAUUAACAGAGGGCGAAUGCAUCUCGCAGGAUGAAUUCGUGCUCGGUCUAUUUCUCCCAGCUGCGGGCGAUGCUCGUGAGAAAUCUCCUGCUGAAAAAACGCGAAAAGCGGAAGACGAUGGCGGAGAUCUUUCUACCCCUCUACACUCUUGGGAUCUUGAUCGUGGUGAAGAUCCUGAUACCGAACCCAAACUAUCCCGCGAUGACGACGCAGAGGCAUGAAGGGGAUAUAUUCGAAUUAUUCAACGGCUACAAGAACAACACGAUUGCCGUGGUGCCCAAUUCUACGGAGACUCUCAGCUUCUUGAGCUCUAUGAACACUCUCUGGCUCUCUAUGUGGGAUUAUCCCGGUAAGCUUCCCUUAAACUUCAUGGUGUUCGACACGAAGGAUGAUUUGCAGGCAGCGUAUUGGAGAGAUCCUUACAGCGUUCCCCUGGCAGUUAUCUUCGAGGAUUCUCAGCCGAUAACACGGCGUCUCAUGUAUGAAAUUAGGACAAAUCCUUCAUACACCUCGCCACCUUCGCCAACCGAACUGUACUCAUCUGCGGUCACCUGCCGAAAAGACACCAGCCACUGGAUGGGCGGUGUUUUGUCGAUAGAGACCGGCAAAUCUUGUCCUGCUAACAAUUAUUUGCAUUCCGGCUUCUUGGCUUUACAAAUAAUAAUGGAUACCACAAAAAUAAGAUUGGACACGGGAAACUCCGACGUAACCAUACCAGAUAUUAAACUUGUAAUGUUUCCUAAGGAAGCAUAUACCGCUGAUUGGAUGCUCGCCUUCAGAGUUGUCAUUCCGCUCUAUAUGGUUUUGGCACUCUCGCAAUUCAUCACCUAUCUCUUGAUCUUAAUAGUUGGUGAAAAGGAAAAUAAGAUUAAGGAGGGGAUGAAGAUUAUGGGCCUAAACGAUUCUGUGUUUUGGUUGUCGUGGUUCAUCAUUUACAGCAUCUUCGUCUUGUUGCUCUCCGCCGUCGGAGUGGUAUUGCUCUUUACGCUGCAAAUGUUCCAGCACACACAUUUCCUGCCGAUAUUUCUUUUAAUGGUGUUAUACAGUUUCUCUGUGAUCAUGUUUGCCUUCAUGAUUACGCCAUUCUUUGACAAGUCGCGCACGGCUGGUGUUUUGGGUAACUUCGCUGUCACUAUACUGAGCUUGAUGUAUUUUAUCCAAGUGUUCGUGGACGAUUCCAGUUCGGUCUCGUUUUGGUUAGUCUCUUUGGUCAGCCCGACCGGAGUCGCCUUGGCGAUGGACAAGGCUUUGGUGCUGGAUCUGCAGGGCGAGGGGGUGAAUUUCGAUAAUCUUUGGUCCGGUCCUGGAAUACCCUUCGGCGGCAGUCUUAUCAUGAUGACUCUGGAUAUCUUUCUGUACGGCUGUCUAGCGUACUACCUCGACUCCGUGGUACCAAGUGAAUACGGAACGAAGAAACCACCUUGGUUCUGCUUCGUACCUGGAUUUUGGUGCCAGAGAAAAGUCCAAAGGGUACCGUCGUCGAACGGCGAGUCGAACUCUUUCAUCCCGGGCGAGGAGACGAAUCGCGAUGUGGAGCCGGUGGUGCGCGAGAUGAAGGGUCGCGAAGCGAUCAGGAUAGCCGAUCUCUAUAAAUCCUAUCACAAGUGCAAGCGCGCGGAGACGAAAGCCGUGAAUGGCAUCAAUCUGACUAUCUACGAGGGUCAGAUUACCGCUAUUCUCGGCCACAACGGCGCCGGCAAGACCACUCUCUUCAACAUCCUCACCGGUUUGACCGCACCUACCUCCGGCACCGCCCUUAUUUUCGGCUACGACGUACGCGACUCGAACGACAUGCGGGCGAUACGCAGCAUGACGGGGGUCUGCCCGCAACACGACAUCCUCUUUGAUCUGCUGUCACCGCGUGAACAUCUCGAGUUCUUCGCCGCGGUGCGCGGCAUUCCGCGCUCAAGGAUACAACACGAAGUGAAGAAAACUCUGAAAGAUAUUGAUCUAACCGAGAAGGCGGAUACUUUUGCGAAAUACUUAAGUGGUGGACAGAAGAGGAAAUUGUCUGUGGGCAUCGCCAUCAUCGGCGAUCCCAAAAUUAUUAUCCUCGACGAGCCCACUGCCGGAGUCGAUCCUUAUUCGAGAAGACAAAUGUGGUCCUUCUUGCAGUCCAGACGGCAUGGAAAGGUGAUCUUGUUGACGACUCACUUUAUGGACGAAGCGGACAUACUCGCCGAUAGAAAAGCAGUGAUCAGCAAGGGGAAACUCAGGUGUUGCGGCAGCUCCCUGUUUCUGAAGAAUAAGUUUGGCAUUGGAUACCAUUUAACAUUAGUGCUGGAGGGUAACGCUAGGGAACACGCCAUCACGCGGUUAGUAAUGUCGCAUGUAAGCAAAGCGGAAAAGGCGAGACGCCACGGUCGGGAAUUGAGUUUCAUUCUACCUCACAAUUCCGUGGAGAGUUUCGCUCCUUUGUUCUCCGCUAUCGAGCAUGAGAUUAAGACCCGUUCGAGUAGGCUCGGAAUCAGUAGUUACGGCGUAUCGAUGACCACUCUGGAGGAAGUGUUCCUGCAUUUGGAGAAAGAUGAGGAGACUGAGUGCACGAUGGACAAUCUAUCGAAGAAGAUGGUGCGUAACCGCGCACUCAGUCGAUCGCUUUCUCUGCAAUCCAAAAGCACAUCCUAUCAGAGCUUACAGAACGAGGGAGUAACCGUCCAAGGCGACAGCCAAGGAAAAGCGAACGACUUACCGGACGGCGUCCAUAACGAUCGAAAUCCACCUGUGCUCGGCCUCGGCCUAGAUCGCAUCAAGAUCCGGCCUAACUUCCUCCAGACUCUCUACGCCAUGUUACGUCUCAGGGUGCUCAGACUCAUCAGGAACAUUCAGAUGCUGUACUUCACGAUCCUCAUGCCACUGGCUCUGAUAGUGCUCGGUCUCUAUUUAAACAGCAUCCGAACGAUUGACAUCAAAAUGCAGUCACUGGAACUUAAUAGCCAUACAUACGGCAAGGAAACCAAGAUUCUCUACAUGAAUAAUAGCGACCAUGACAUCACUGACUUCAUGGAGAACAUAGCUCACGAUGUGAUGAAAGUCGAGGAAUACAAUGGCAGUUUUGUGAAUUUAUUAAACGUUGCGCCGCAUUUUGCCGCCCUCAACAUUAGCGAUUAUAAUCUGUCGCGAUUCAAUCUAACCCUCGUUUACAAUGACACGAUGCAGCAUUCCCUUCCGAUUCUGAUGAACAUUCUCACAAACAGUUAUUAUAGAACGAUGGCGGGCAAGAAUGAUCCUUCGCCGAUCGCAGUCAAAACACAUCCCUUCCAGCAAACGUCGCAACCGCAAGAGUUCAAUAUCGGUAUGGCCAGCUGCGCUGCUUUCAUCGGCAUGGAUUUCGUGCUACUGCCGAUUACUUUAGCAGUGGACAUGGUUUACGAUCGCGAGAUUAAAGCGAAGAAUCAGCUCCGCGUGAACGGUCUGUCGUUCCCGAUGUACUUUCUCAGCUACUUCAUCGUGCUGGUCGGUCUGAUGAUGUUCAUCUGUAUGUGUAUCCUCGGCAUCAUAUUCCUCUUCGACGUGCCUUCGCUACAAGAGCUACCGGCGCUUAUCACCCUCAGCACUCUUCUCAUGCUCUACUGCCCAUCGUCCAUUCUUUUCUCAACCUGCCUCAGCUACAUCUUCGACAAGAUGGACUCCGCGCAAAGCAUUCUGCCGAACAUCGCGACCUUCUUCGGACUGAUACCGUUCCUCCUCGUCGUAUUUCUCGAUAUGCUGGGACUCGGUGGGACAGCGGCAUUUGCGUUGCACAUCGUCUUCUCCCUGUUAAAUUCCAUGUACGUUCCGUACGCGGCGGUAUACUACGUGGAUCGCGUUUAUCUGAUGUGCUCCAUCAAUGCCGCCUGCCAUCACCUCACCAUGUCCGAUUAUCUCACCACGGAGAUCAUACUGAUGGCCGUCGGGGUACUUUUGCAUUGCCCGCUUUUGUUCUUCCUUCUGCUCCUGCUGGACAUUAAGAAGAGUGGCGGCAACGUUAGCGAUUUCUUCAAAUACUUCCUGCAUAAUGGCGGCUCCAUUGGCGAAGAAAUUAUGGAGAACUCUGACAUUGGCGAACACGAAGACGCGGAUGUAAAGAACGAGCGACAAAAGGUCUUCAACUUAAUUACAUCGUCGGCCGUUCAAGAGCCGCCUGUAGUAUUAGUUCAGAAUCUGAGGAAGGAGUACCGGCAGCGAGAGGUAGGAUCAUCCUGCGGCUGCUGCUCGAAGCGCGAGGAAGAGGCCACGCAGAAGCAGCGGAAGACCGCUGUGAGAAAUCUCUCGCUUGCGGUGGACCCGGGCGAGGUUCUGGGCUUGCUGGGUCACAAUGGCGCCGGCAAGACCACAACCAUGAAAAUCAUCAUCGCCGAGGAGGCAGCGACGAGGGGCAGAGUGCAGAUCGGCGGUCAUAACAUCAACACCCACAUGGUGGACGCUUUCCAGCAGAUGGGUUAUUGUCCCCAACACGACGCUCAAUGGAAAAACAUUACCGUGAGAGAGCAUCUGGAAUGCUACGCCGCGAUUCGCGGGGUUCCGCGGGGCGAUAUUGACAGAAUCGUAGACUUGUAUUUGUCCGGUCUGCAAAUCCAUGAACACGCCGACAAGCAGACCCAAGAAUGUUCCGGAGGGACUAGAAGAAAGCUUAGCUUCGCGAUGGCGAUGAUCGGUGGGCCCAAGGUGGUUCUCAUGGACGAACCGAGCACGGGCAUGGAUCCAAAAUCGAAGAGAUUCCUAUGGGACACAAUUCUCGCUAGUUUCCAGGUCAAUUGCAUUACUGGUGGCAGAGGAGCCAUAUUGACCACCCACUCCAUGGAGGAGGCUGAUGCGCUGUGUUCGAGGGUCGGCAUAAUGGUGAAGGGCGAGCUGAGAUGCAUCGGCUCGACUCAACACCUGAAGAACCUCUACGGCGCUGGCUACACUCUCGAGAUGAAGCUGCUGGGCGGCGAUUGCACGCCGACGACUCCCUCCGGUGACAGGAUCGCCGGCUUGAAAGAAUUCGUCGCCGGCCUCUUCCCUGACGUCACUCUGGAGGAGAGCUUCGCCGACCGGCUGGUCUUCGCCGUGCCUCAACACGCUGUCAACUCGCUGGCCGAGUGCUUCAUACAGUUGGAGAAAGCCAAGCUUGAACUGGACAUAGAAGAAUAUAGCUUUAGUCAAACUACCCUGGAGCAAGUGUUCCUCAAGUUCUCGCACUACGACGAGGGCAACUCCGUGGAAUGAUGAUUCGCGGUGCUAAUGUGCCAUUGUUACGUGAUAAUCAGUGAUGAACUCGCGAUUAGCGCGCACGAAAGGACUGUUUAUUCGCCCGCGAGCGCGUAAAAAGAAAAAAAGAAAAAAAAUGUGCUCGAAGGAUGGACGCUUUUAGAUGCUCGAGGAUCUGUGGAACGAUUUCCGUUGUCCUUGCUGACAAAUCGUGCGAUUACAUUACGACGAAGCGCACCGCUCAUUUCGAAAUGUUGCAGAUGGGACGGUGAACAUGAUGGCUAGUUAACGGUUCUAGUGUUGUAUUCCGAACAAGUAUCUAAAGUGACACAUCGUCUCGUGCCUUCAAAUCCCAGGAGGGGUAAUGAAGAAACGACGGAAUGACGAGGGAACAGGAGUUUGUCAAUAGCUUUAAUUGUAUUAUGAAGUAUUUCCACGUAUCAGGACAACACGUUGUUUAUAAGCUUGAUAAAAAAAAAAAAAAAACGAGGAAACGAUAGAGCGGCAAAGGAACAAUUAUGAAAGCCGUAAACGUUUAAGAUAACGAAGAAUUGCUUAAUUGUUCCGAAAUAUUGGAGAAGCAACUAGGGAAUUAUAGAACACCGAAAAAAACAAUUAGUCAGUAAUGCGUUGUGCUUAAAGAAACGGAUGAGUUUCUUCGUAAUUCCAGGAGGAAGAGCGAAGUAAAGUGAUGGGAAUAGCUAGCCAAUCGUCUCGUCGUUACGUUCAACAGCUAGGAAAACGAAACUGGGAGUGGCUGAAAACUGGGAUUGAUAAAACGACGAGCGGAUAGUUAUAUCGCAGCCUAGAAUUGCGCGAUUCGAGAGAGUAAAGUAAACUAGUCGCUUUGUAGGUGCAAACUGUUGGCGGAACGAGAGACGGCAGAACUAUGAGGGAUCAGUUAGCGAGUAGUUUCCCAACGUGCAGUUUCAAAGGAGCAUCAAAGUCGCCUUGCUGCACGGUAUCGAUGAAGAAACGAAGUGCGAUUAGAUGGCGGAGCUUCGAAAGAGUGUACUAAUAAAAAUGAGAGCUCGGUUGUUCUAAAGUGUUGAAGAAAUUACGGAGUGGAGCGGUGGAGAACUUAAACAAUCGCGGAUGAUAAAAUUUGUCUCGCUGUUGUAAAAUGAGUCGACAGACGACCGAAGUAAUAAGGGUUCAUUAAAUCGUAAUGGUGCUUCGAAGAAGUGUCGGAAUAAUAGGCCGCUUUUUUUCAACCUUCACUGGCGAAACGACGGAUCGGCGGACGGGAUGAGCUAGGAAUAAAUAAUAACUUGAAACGUGUGGCGUUGUGCUUUGAGGGAAUUUCACGGGUGAUAAGGGCGAUCGAAGCGAUCGAAGGCGAGACGCUGACGGCGGUCUUACUGUUUUCGCGCUGGUUGAAUGAGCGCACGCAAAUCGUCCCUCGCGAAGGAAAGACUCUCUCUAUAAAGUUCUGUGUAUUUAUUCUGUAAAUAGUCUCGCGGGUACACGCCGUGGAGUAUUACAAUUGCGAUUCGAGCACGACCCCCCCCCCUCCCUUCCCCCUUCCCCUCCCUCCCCCCUUUUAACGACGGAGCGUCACUUUAAAGCUGAAGUUUACGCUCGAUAUUUUCCAGAUUUGUAUCUGUGACGUCUUUACUUCUCUCAUCGGCGUUGUCUUGUCGUAACGUAAUGUCCAGGAGGAAGAGAUCCUCCAGAAUUACUGUCAGAAAUCAGCGGCGGAAGGUAAAUGUCGGGCGUAAACGCGAGGAACAGACGUCCUCGUGGCGUAGUGUCGAAGUUACUGGUGGUCCAUUUCGUAUUUGAAAACUUACCAGUAACAGAUCUCAUACCAAUAUUGCACUGGAAUUGGAGUACACACGGUGUCCGUUGUCCUCAAACAGGACGGCUCCUUGGCAGGAGUUGCAAAUCGAUGGACCGGUUCGAGAAGGUUCCUGGCGAUAAAUCGGUCUUUAGCUCUGGUCGCGUCAUUUAUGAUGAUAUUGAAGAGAUCUUCACCUAAUAAUUACUCGAAUACCAUUAAAGCGCGUAGUUAUUUCUUUAUCAUCUUCCCUGCAACCUUGUGCGCGGAUUACUGUACUUUACAAAAAAAAUACUAGGUCAAAGUGAAUCGAUGGAAAUUUAUUUUACGAAAUUGUGUAAACUUUUAUUAAGCUCAAAAUGUGCGAUACGAAUUGAUUUUCAAUUGCAAGGAUAAUGCGUAAUCUGCAAAUAUUGUUAAAUUAAAUAUGGAUUUCGAAAAUUCAGUGUUUAAUUUCAUAGAAUAAAUAUUUAUCAAGCUGGAGAAUUUGAAAUAUUUAUCAAUUUCUUUUAUUGAUCUGUUAAGCAGCAAAAAAAGGACUUUUUCACAAAGUUACAACAGUUCAAAGAUCGACAAUUUUUCUGCAAAAAUUUAGUGAUCCUUUAAUUUUGCUAUUUAGUAUAUUUUCUGCGGAUAAUAAGUAUUUCAAAGGGACACAGAUAUUGUUAGAACUUUCUACGUAAGGUUGCGAGUAAGAUGUUGAUUUUUUUGGAUCAUUGAAAGAUUGAAAAUAAAUUUGUGACGCAGGAUUUGAAAUUACCCAUUUUUUGAGCCGAGCCAUCGUGAGUGCUGUUGGGCCAUACUGAAUGCAGCGAGUUACGAGGGGUGUUUGAGAAGGAACUUUUAUCGCGCUAUACAGUUAUUUGCUCUUCUAAUGGCCAAAGAAGUUCCAAGUUUUAGUCAUUUCGAAUUUUAAGCACGAAUAUAUAAUGGUGUGUAAGUUUUAGAUUUAAUAUUUGUAUCUUCCAUAAUUUCUGGGAAAAUUUCAAAGAGGACUCUUUGAAAAGCAUAAAUAUCAAAAUUAUAUUCAAUAGUUUUGUAUUUAAGAAAGGAUUAAAUUAAAAGGAUAAAUGUUGCUCAGGAAUUAAGGGUGCGGCGAUUAGCGAUACAUUAAAAAAAAUCUGUCGCAUUAAAGAAAAAGGUAAUCGUUAGAGUAAUAAAUUUAUUAAAAGUAGUGUUAAAAUUCAUUUGAAAUACAGUGAAUUAUUUAUUAAUAGAUAAUUAUUAGAGCAAUAAAGUUAAUUCCAAUCGUGAAAUAUUAUUCGUUAAGUUUUCAUUGCAUAGAAAUGUUACUGAGUAUUUUCAGGGAGGGAUAAAUAUUGCAUAGCUUAUUUUUGUUAACUGAAGCUGCGAUGUUUCACUGUGAUCAAAUUGGACGGUGUUUAAUUCUCUUUUGAUAAGAUUUAAUGUGCCUUGAGUUUAAUACCAAAUUAUUAGUCAAUAAAUCUAUAAUUGUCAUGCUUGCAAGAUAAAAUGCAACUGUUCCCGAGAGCUGCGAAGUGGCGUAACGAUAUCUUUUGUGGAAGUACUUGUUACUUUUUUGACAAUCCGGUGCGAUUAUUUCCUGAAAUCUGCACGAAACGUCAUAUUACUUCUCGAACACCCCUCUCAUUUUCUAUACACGUAUUUAAAAGUACCCUGAAAAGGGCCGUAGUCCUAAU
rnacentral:misc_RNA from 1 species